rnacentral:lncRNA from 1 species
GAAGAAAAUAUGAGGAAAAGUACCUUACUUGACAUGGUAUCAAAGCAUGUACACGAUCCGUGACCUCUUUCCCUAACCGGCCUCUAGCAAUGUUCGUAUGAACAUUUUCUCAAACAGAUGGAGGACCCCAACGUCUUCACUGACCUCGUCCAAACCCCAUCUAAUGCUGAUGCCAUACGAACCUCACCACCAAAAUUUCUGAAGCUUUAACCAAAACACACAUAUCAUCCCCAUCGAUUGAAAAUUCACCCCAGAUUGGUAUCAAAUUAAACGAUGUAAAUUAUGGCCUAUGAUCAUAGGUUAUGGAAAUGUAUAUUUCUGGAAAAGAUAAACUAGGUCACAUUAAUGGAGAUGCUUCUC